rnacentral:lncRNA from 1 species
CGGAGAUAAUGGAAGUAACAUGGCCACCACAGUCGUAACACUGUUAUUAAUAACAAUGAAAUCCAGUGUAGAGUCCAAGGAGGGCAAUCCCUAUGCCCUCCUGCAAAUCUGCUGAUUGAAUCUGGGGAAGCCAAUCACCAUUGCUCUGGAUACUUGAAGAGACGGACAUUAGGGUUGCAUACUCUGUGAGCUGCGUUGAUUGACGUCAUGUGCUCUAGUACUAAACAAUUCAUUGACACACACAUUUCAGUAAACGGGAAAAAGAUGUGGAUAAGAGUGCAGGAUGCACUACAGCCUAGGUCAUUUCUUGACUGUGUUUAAUUUUAUGCUAACUCUUUAGUCAACUGGAAAACAUAGAGAAUUUGCCUUGAUUCAUUCUCCUUCUUAUAUCUGGAUAGGCAAAUAUUACCACCAUCAACAUGAUAAUAUUAUGAAUGAUAACUUAAGCCAUUCAUUGAGAACUCACUCUGUGCCACAUGCUGUUCUAAGUCUUUUCUGUGGAUGGAUCAGUUUAACUUUAACAAAACCCCUGUGAAGUAGGUGAAUGUCAUUAUCCCCAUUUUUCCAAUUAAGGAACUAGGGUUUAUAAAAGUUAUGAAAUGUGCUUAUGGUCAAGCAGAGCCUGGGUCCUGGGCCACUAUGUGUGUUGCCCUACUGAGUACAUGUGUUGAGGUGGGUAUAGAGAUGAAGUAUAUCAAGCCUCUGCCCACGAAGGUAAGUGGAAGGCAGCAGACAUAAAUAGUGAGGUGCAAUUCAAAGCAGGAUGGUAUGAGGAUCACAAGAGACACCGAAACAAAGGAAAACAGAAUGGAGAUGUUCAGGCUCUUGCUGACCCUGUAGUCAGAAGUCACACAUGCUUCAACAAAGCUGGCAUCAUUCAAAACAGAUGGCCUGCUGGGAGUGGCACAGCUUGGAUUUCAUCUUGUCAGAUCCUGGAAUUUCAGCACUGACAAGUGUAUUCCUAUCCUGUUCCUGUGGAGUGUUUUCCAUAGUCUUGGCUGCUGCCUUUCUUCAUGGAGAUGAGGGCUAGCUGUGCCCCAAAGAUGAGGAGCGUCCCCACCACCAGCUCUGCUUGCUGGCAUGUUCACGUCACAUCGCCUUCAAUAUCUACCUUCUGCUGCAGGUUUUACACCACCAUUUCAAUCUUGAACAGGUGAAUUAACCAACUUUUAUAUGAAGCAUCCACCACACAAACCUGCUCUAUGUUUUCACUUAAGUCUCACCAAAAUAUUCUGAUGCCUUUCUCAUCUUGAAGAGCAAGACAGCAUGGUAGUUGUGAAAACAGAUUCCAUCAUAAAACAAACCAAUAAACAAACAAAAAAGACCUAGAUUUGGAUUCUG